GCAUCGAUAGUUUAGUGGCAGAGCAGUAAGGCGUUUAACCAUGUGGCCCGGGUUCGAUCCCCGGUCGAUGCA